UUUUUUUAGAAAAAUGAAUGUUCAAUCAAAUAUAAAUUAUUUUUUCAGGUCAAUUAAAUAUGUCAAAAUUAUAUUUUCAGAUAUCAUACUCUUAUAUAGUAAUUUCUCAAGAAUAUUUUUGGAAAGAAAAAUUUUUCAUGCAAACUAAAUGAGUUCUGUAUGCUUAGUGAUUCAAGCUUCAUUGAGUCUGAUCCAUGUUGACUCUUAUUUUUUAUUUAAUCUAUUUGGAUCAAAUCUAACUCUUAUAUAAGUCUAUUUGGAAUCGCUUGGUACUCUUUAAACAAGAGUCCAUGGCAAACCAUGUUUAGCUUAGGUUUAAAAUAUAAUGCCUUAUUUAAACAAAUAAGAUAUAUGAGCAAUGAAUCAUCGUGCGUGCAAAAUAUAUAAUCAUAUAAAUGGUUGCACCAUAGAUCAUGAUAAUGUGAUGAAACUAUAUCAAAUUUCACAUAAUCAAACGUGUUUUGACCACGCAUGGCUUGAAAUAGAUUUCAAGCCUAGAUGCUCGUAUCAUAUCUAACUAAUAUAAAUUCAAUUUAAGCUCGAUGAACUUAGAUAUUAAGUAUGCUUUAAUCUGUAUAUUAUUGUGUAUUGAUUUAUUUAUAGAUAUAUAUUAAUUUUUUUGAUAAUUAAUUUAUUUAAU
rnacentral:lncRNA from 1 species